AGCGAACGCUGGCGGCAGGCCUAACACAUGCAAGUCGAACGGACCUUUCGGGGUUAGUGGCGGACGGGUGAGUAACACGUGGGAACGUGCCCUUUGGUUCGGAAUAGCUCCUGGAAACGGGUGGUAAUGCCGAAUGUGCCCUUCGGGGGAAAGAUUUAUCGCCAUUGGAGCGGCCCGCGUCUGAUUAGCUAGUUGGUGAGGUAAAGGCUCACCAAGGCGACGAUCAGUAGCUGGUCUGAGAGGAUGAUCAGCCACAUUGGGACUGAGACACGGCCCAAACUCCUACGGGAGGCAGCAGUGGGGAAUUUUGCGCAAUGGGCGAAAGCCUGACGCGGCCAUGCCGCGUGAAUGAUGAAGGUCUUAGGAUUGUAAUAUUCUUUCACCGGGGACGAUAAUGACGGUACCCGGAGAAGAAGCCCCGGCUAACUUCGUGCCAGCCGCCGCCGUAAAAC
rnacentral:rRNA from 1 species